GGCCGAGGGACGUUUUUAAGACCGAGAGAAAUAUUUCUCUAUACGGACCGACCAUACCGGUAAAUAAUAUUUUUAUUUUUUUUUUUUAAUUCCUCCUCUGGAUUUCCCCAAUCACUCCUCCCGCACGCGAAUGAAGCUGCCAAAUAAAACGUCGUUUCUAUCAAUGCUAUCGGGAAGAGAAAUAUCUUUUGUGAGAUAGUAAAAUUCGUUUUCACUGUGUUUUUCAUUGUCUGCAGACAUUUUAAUGUUUUAAAAAGUAGCCUUUAAACUCGUCUUUAAAUUUUGAAAAAUAAAAACAUUGGCUCUACGGCUUUAAAUCUCGCGCGGUCCGUACGGGCUCAUACGGACCGCUCACGUAGCCAAUCAGAUUGCAGAAAAGCGUAAAAUAUGACUUCGGACCGCAAGAAAAAAAAUAAAAACAUUUAUUGUAGCUCUUUUACUUGAAGUGCGCAAUAGAAACAAAGCAUUAUAUACAUAUUUUACAGCUUAAAUUGGAAGCAAUCUUAGUUGUAGCUAGUCUUCACAGCUUUAUAUAACGUUGGAAUUACACGUUCUUUCCUAGUCCUAGAAACAAUAGACUUGCUACAAGUCGACCUCGUAUGCGGAUCGACGAAGUCGCGAGAGCGAGCGACUAUACAAAAGCUUUAUGUUGUUCUGCACUGCCUUAUACCCAGACGCUGCAUCACCUGCAUGGCUCAAAUGAAGACUAUAUGGUUUAAAUUUUAUGGUUAAAUAUGUUAUACAAAUGUUUGAACAUGUUUAACCAAAAAUUUGGUACGUGUCUAUGCUAGGCGAGUACACUACCAGGCCUUAAAAUAUCGGUCGGUCACGGACAUUGUCCGACCUAUUCGUGAAAUUGUCCGACGUAGAGAGGGAACCACCCCGGACAUUCUGUCCGACCUAAGUGAAUCUGAGUUUUUUUUGUUUUCGACCUGAGUCGAGUGUAUUGGUGUUUGACCGAAUUGUAACUCUGUCCAACGUAAAUCAAAAUGUACAGUACCCAAGUCGUGGUAUGUUAAAUAGAGAAUCAGAGUAAUGUAUAAAAAGUGAACUGGAAAUGUGUAAUCAAGUGCAUGCGAGGUCUUCACCGUGGGAUUGGGAAAUUCAUUGCCAAGAUUCAUGACUUUUCCAAAUUGUGUUGAUAUUAAUUGUGUCUGCAUUCAUACUUCUUUAACUGAACUCAAAGUCAGGGUUUUUUUCCAGGAUUUCCUCUUGGGUCCGUUUUUGCAGAGAAGAUUGAGUUUAGCUGAACAGCUGGAGGUGGCUGCACCCCCCCCCCCCCUACCGGGGGGCUG